rnacentral:rRNA from 1 species
AGUGAACGCUGGCGGUAGGCCUAACACAUGCAAGUCGAACGGCAGCACAGUAAGAGCUUGCUCUUACGGGUGGCGAGUGGCGGACGGGUGAGGAAUACAUCGGAAUCUACUUUUUCGUGGGGGAUAACGUAGGGAAACUUACGCUAAUACCGCAUACGACCUACGGGUGAAAGCAGGGGAUCUUCGGACCUUGCGCGAUUGAAUGAGCCGAUGUCGGAUUAGCUAGUUGGCGGGGUAAAGGCCCACCAAGGCGACGAUCCGUAGCUGGUCUGAGAGGAUGUUCAGCCACACUGGAACUGAGACACGGUCAAGACUCCUACGGGAGGCAGCAGUGGGGAAUAUUGGACAAUGGGCGCAAGCCUGAUCCAGCCAUACCGCGUGGGUGAAGAAGGCCUUCGGGUUGUAAAGCCCUUUUGUUGGGAAAGAAAAGCAGCAGGUUAAUACCCCGCUGUUCUGACGGUACCCAAAGAAUAAGCACCGGCUAACUUCGUG